rnacentral:lncRNA from 1 species
UGUAGGUACCAAGACGUGGAUAUGGGGGAGAACCUUGAAAUAUGAUAACGGACUAUGCCACCAGCAUGUCUCUGGAACCUAUGAUCAGGCAAGGUUCUAAAGUACGUAGUCUGUGUCAAUGGAGAUGUCACAAUGUCUAUUUCCCUUUGAAGGAAGGAUUAGAUUCUUUAGAUAAUGAUCAGCCUAGUCAGAAAACAACAUUCCCCAAGCAAGCAUAAAGAGAGGACACAAUUACUGACGGACAGCGGAAAUGUGCUGCGGGCUGGAGUGGGGGGGCUGAAAACAAGGAAA